UUUCCGUAGGUGAACCUGCGGAAGGAGCAUUAUUGUAUAACCGAGGUGCGAGGGCUGUCGCUGACCCGACAGGUCGUGCACGCCCGAGUGCCCUCACACACAGCCAUCCCACCCCUAUUUGCACCACCGCGUGGGUCCCCCUUUGGCUUGGUCGGAGGGGGGCUUACGUUUUCACACAAACUUUGUAUGAAGUGUAGAAUGUAUUUUUUGUUUUUUGCGAUCACGCAAUCAAUACAACUUUCAACAACGGAUCUCUUGGCUCUC
rnacentral:misc_RNA from 1 species